rnacentral:rRNA from 1 species
CAAUAGCGUAUAUUAAAGUUGUUGCAGUUAAAAAGCUCGUAGUUGGAUUUCUGGUGGGAGCGAUCGGUCUGGCGCUUAGCGCGAGUACUUGCAUCGUCUCCGGCCAUCCUUGGGGAGAGUCUGUCUGGAAUUAGGUUGUCGGGCAGAGGAUCCUCAUCGUUUACUGUGAAAAAAUUAGAGUGUUCAAAGCAGGCUUAUGCCGUUGAAUAUAUUAGCAUGGAAUAAUAAGAUAGGACUUUGGUACUAUUUUGUUGGUUUGCGCACCAAAGUAAUGAUUAAUAGGGACAGUUGGGGGUAUUCGUAUUCCGUUGUCAGAGGUGAAAUUCUUGGAUUUACGGAAGACGAACUACUGCGAAAGCAUUUACCAAGGAUGUUUUCAUUAA